AUGUCGUUGUUGUUUGUUCUUGACCUGUUACUGUAUCAGUUCCUGUCCGAAUGGCCUUCUGUAUCUCCUGCUGAUAUCACAGCAGAGCUGGAUGUGCUUGCACAGCGCUUUCUUGACCUGACACACUGCUUCCACGCCGAGCUACAGGCCCAGAAGGACUCCGAUUCAGGGACCUUGCAUGAGAGAGAAUAUGAGUCCUUGCUGAUGCUGGAGGGUUUGGAGAGGAUGAUGGCAGAACUUACUACGUGUGCUGAUCAUCGAACGAAAGACUGGGAGAGGUGGGAUAUGAGCCUCUCUGAAGCUUUGUGUCCCGUCCGGAGGAGAGGUGAAUGGGGCGACCCGGCCCGUUCCUGCCUGCCACCCAUCCUGUCGUAG
ensembl:lncRNA